UCCAAAAACUACACGAGUUUUACAAAGCAGAAAAAAGGAAAAUAUUCGCUUUGAGAAAGUUAAUAGUACAAGGAAAAACUCUCAAAAAAAUUUGACAGGUUAGCAAAAUACAUUUAUUACAUAGAAAUUAGUUUAAAUACAAGUUUUUUAAAGAAUUAGUACCGAAACAACAGCGAAAAAAACAUGUUCAUUGAUAAUAUGGACUCAAAUGAAUUUGCAGUCAACAAGCACUUACUAUACUACCAAACAUCUGUAUAAUAUAUCUGAGCUUUCCUGUGAGAUAUACCGAUUCUAAAACCAUUUCUUUCACACACAUAUAUAUAUAUAUAUAUAUAUAUAUAUAUAUAUAUAAAACAAUUCAAGUCUUCUUG